rnacentral:rRNA from 1 species
CUAAGAAUCUUCCGCAAUGGACGCAAGUCUGACGGAGCGACGCCGCGUGAACGAUGAAGGCCGUGAGGUUGUAAAGUUCUUUUCCGGGGGAGGAAUAAGGAUGGCAGGGAAUGGCCGUCUGAUGACGUUAACCUGGGAAUAAGCCCCGGCUAACUACGUGCCAGCAGCCGCGGUAACACGUAGGGGGCGAGCGUUGUUCGGAAUUAUUGGGCGUAAAGGGUGCGCAGGCGGCAUGCCAAGUCUGGUGUGAAAGGUCCCGGCUCAACCGGGGAAACGCACUGGAAACUGGUGUGCUUGAGUACAGGAGGGGGAGUUGGAAUUCCAGGUGUAGGGGUGAAAUCUGUAGAUAUCUGGAAGAACACCGGUGGCGAAGGCGAACUUCUGGCCAUGUACUGACGCUGAGGCACGAAGGCGUGGGGAGCAAACA